rnacentral:sRNA from 1 species
UGAGCGCGCCGUCCGCGCCCGCCUGACAGCUGCUCGCUACGUUGUGUUAGCC